GGACUCCGCGGUGCCGGCCGACCCGGAAGCAUGUCUGUCCCUAGCGGAGGCGCGGGUGCCGUGCUGAGAGCGCCUGCCUGUGCGCCCCGAGCGGGGCUGGGACUCUUCCAAGAUGCCCACGUUCGCACAGAGACCCCGGAUCGCGGAAGCUCGCGUCUCGAAAGGCCUGCGGUCUCACGCCCUGCCCGUCCUGGGUUCACGGUUUUUCAUCACCUGCGGCUGUCCUGCGAUCGACCACAGCUGUGCAGGAGGGGCAGGAGGUAUCUGUUGCUGCAGUUACCGGAACCUUUGCCAGGACUAGUACAGGACCACGGGCUGGUAGCUCAGGGAUGUCUCGUCUGUGAGUUACAGCUGCACGCUCUCCAGGAAAGAAGGAAUUUCCUCUUCUCUGGAAACCCCACCACACAGCUGGUUUCUCAUUGGUGCUGCUUGCCCAUUCCCUGAGCUGUGACUGCCAGAGGAGUGGGAGGUUGGUGGUGCCUCCAGCCCAUCAGGGGCAGGCCCUGGGACCGCCUGGGAACAGGAGGACUAUGGCACAAACCGAGUGAGUGAUGGGAGCAACCCGCAGGGCUCUGCCACAUCCCUGUCUUCCUUCACUGACAUGAAACGCAGAAAAGGCAGCUUUGCCACAACACAGGAGCACGCACCGAAUGUGGCCGCCCAGGGCUCUGUCCUUGACCCUGUUGUCCAGGACUGUUUACCAAGGGCUGACAGGCACUGAGUGCCCCGUGCACCUGGCCAGACACUGCACUCAUGCAGCGGAAAGGACAGUGAACGAGACUUUGUCCCUGGCCUCC
rnacentral:lncRNA from 1 species